rnacentral:rRNA from 1 species
UCGGGUAGCAGUUGGGGUUAGGGGGUGUGGGAGCAGCGGCCGCGGCCGAGGCCGCUUUUGGGAUCGCUGGGUACCUCUUAGCCAGAAUGAUGCCGCCGUAGCCGUCGCCGUCGCCGUCGUUCUUGGGCGGCGGCAGACCCUUCCUCCGCCCCCUACUCCUCAUGCCCCCUCCCAUGCUGGCCGACCUGCUCCUCCACCUCAAGGCCGACGGCUCCCCCGUGGCCGGCCACCUCUUGGACCUGUGCCUCCCCGACCUCGUCCGGAGGCAGCUGUGCGUCGAGCGGAGGAGGUUGCAGCCGAAGUCCGACGACGUCUUCUACCCUACCUUCAGGCCGUUCCCGGAGCCGUUCUUGCUCGUUCCAUAUGAUCUCGGGUAUUUUCGGCCAUAGUCCCUACGUUUUAAUCCUCACCCCUUCGUUCUCGUCCUACUGAAGAAGUGUCGACUCCUGUUACAUGUUUCUUUCUCUAAUUUACAACUUGAACUCCUCUGACUUCUCGUAUAAUUCUUCGCACUCCAGUGUCGUCUUGCACUCGUCUUUUAGGCGUCACUCCAAUUCCUCUAUGUCUUCUGUAAGAAAACGUCGGAGACGUUAUUCGUUAUGUUCGACCGUAUACUUAAACUCUCAGUAGAUUCGAGUAUACUGGUAUUAGUAUCCUUCUCCAAGUUCCUUUACUUUCUCUACGUUUCGUCGUUGUCACCGUUGGCACUACUAUCCGUCUUUGCACUCGUCGUCGCUCUUCUCUUCCUCGACCGUUUUAAACGGGUUGACCGUCUACGAGUAUCUUUCGUCGUCUUUCUCUUCGUUCUUGUCGGUCUAUAGAGUCCUCUCGUUCGAUGCGGUUUCUUGAACGACUGGGGCCCGUUAGUCCUAGUCGCAGCUUGUAACUUCAAACCGAAGAGGUUUUACUGGGGAAGGUUCCGUGGACAACCGUUGUACUCGUUCUUCGGUUUCUAACGGUGCUUUCAGGGAAGGCAGAAGCCUUUGCUGUCGCUACUCCUCCGUACUGGAAGGAAACGGGAGUGUACUAUGGAGUGUUUCCUCCCCUUACGGCCGGAACAGUCGUCUAAGGUCAUUCAGUAGGGACUCUUCUACGGCACGUACAUUACACGACGACCAAACCCGUCUACACCUAUCGCCGUAGAACCGGUUGGGGUACUUGUUCGUCCCUGAACCUGGCAACACCACAGUUAACAUAACUUGACUACCAUGUAACAUUCUCGUUGAGACAGACAUGAAGGUAUAGUCUCACCAACAUUGACCGAACUCGGUACCGUCCGACCGUUGAUCUUCUUGUACCGGGGGGAAACAACCCCGUGUGGAAAACAUAGUUAUAACAACCUAAGAACACUCUAAGGAGCCGCCAGCCACCCACCACUUCACAUAAAGAAAGAG